GACGAACGCUGGCGGCGUGCUUAACACAUGCCAGUCGAACGGAAAGGCCCUGCUUUUGUGGGGUGCUCGAGUGGCGAACGGGUGAGUAACACGUGAGUAACCUGCCCUUGACUUUGGGAUAACUUCAGGAAACUGGGGCUAAUACCGGAUAUGAGCUCCUGCUGCAUGGUGGGGGUUGGAAAGUUUCGGCGGUUGGGGAUGGACUCGCGGCUUAUCAGCUUGUUGGUGGGGUAGUGGCUUACCAAGGCUUUGACGGGUAGCCGGCCUGAGAGGGUGACCGGCCACAUUGGGACUGAGAUACGGCCCAGACUCCUACGGGAGGCAGCAGUGGGGAAUAUUGCACAAUGGGCGGAAGCCUGAUGCAGCAACGCCGCGUGCGGGAUGACGGCCUUCGGGUUGUAAACCGCUUUCGCCUGUGACGAAGCGUGAGUGACGGUAAUGGGUAAAGAAGCACCGGCUAACUACGUG
rnacentral:rRNA from 1 species